rnacentral:misc_RNA from 1 species
UCAAACUUGGUCAUUUAGAGGAAGUAAAAGUCGUAACAAGGUUUCCGUAGGUGAGUAAAGGACUUCACCCUCCGUGGCUAUGCUUUGUAUUUUCGAUGUGCUAACUUAACUGUGCUUCUAGGUGAACCUGCGGAAGGAUCAUUAUCGGGAGUGCCCUCGUGGCUCAACCUUCAACCCAAUGUUGUUACCACUUAACUGCCCUUUGGCGGUUCAUCCGCCAAAAGCAAUCUCAAACUCGUUGCAAAUGUGUCAUAAUCUUAAACAAAUAUCAAUAAAUCAAAACUUUCAACAACGGAUCUCUUGGUUCUGGCAUCGAUGAAGAACGCAGC